rnacentral:lncRNA from 1 species
CAAGAAGCAAGGGAAGGUUUAAUGGUUUUUGAAGAGUGGGCCGAGAACAAACUCAGUUGACAAAGAGGAUUAAUUUCCAUUUCUCAAAUGAUGUGUUUAUGAUAACUUACAGAUUCAAUCCAUUUGCAAUUGGGAGAUGUGUGGCAUGCUCUCAUCAAAGCUGUUCAAAGAACAGCCAUGGGCUACUGACAAAAGAAAAUAUCUUACACUGAAGUGCACGCAAACUGAUCAUGUGAGCCUAGGUGCACAUCACUGAACCUAGAGAGCUUGACAGUGAAAUAACCAAACAAGCUCUCCAUUAAGAGCCAGCUCAUAUAGUUUUUGCUUUCUCCAUGGCUGUUAGUAUUGUGCCAGUCAUCUGAUGGGUAGUUAAUGAUCAUACACGGAUUGCCUAUCCUUGACUUCUGGUCAUGAUGUAUGGGGGGAAACAUGUAACAGGCAUGAAGUGCACUGAAACUUGACAGAAAAAUUCUAAGCAGGACAUACAGCUCUUUUAAAUCUGUCAGUCGGCACUCUGCCAGCAAUUGGGGAAUAGGGGGAUUAUAUUGGCAUAACGGGCAGUGUCUGAUGUCUGCCUGGCAUGGGAGCCUUCUUAAUAAAUGAGGUAUUUUGACCAGCAGCCAAUAAGAAGGAACAGACUGGGUGUCAGAUGCUUCGCAGGCAGGAGACCAUUUAGUUCAAUUCCAGUGAAACUGAUGCAGAAUUCCAGUACAGAGGACUUUCCCACCCAAAGAGGACACACACCCGAGACUCUCAGGCCCCAUUUCCUCCUGGGCAAACUUAACAGGGCAACCCUUUUACACUCAGAGUUGAAUUACUCUGUAUGUCAUUAGCACCUCCAACACUGUGUUGUUCUCUUCUCUUGGAAAUAUUUUUCAUACUAACUAAGAUAGCAUUUGAUUGGGACAUUGACCUGCUUGUGCUACCCAAGCUAUUUCCCAAGGCCAAUCCUUUUUUCCCCCUGUCAACUCAUACCCAAGCUGUACUUUCUCCAAGUUCUCAUAUGGACAGCAUAUUCUAUGGAAUAAGGAUUAUGGAAUGGGUUAGGGUUAAGGUUGGCUUUGUAGUAUGCUGUAGAAGGUAUACCAGAUAGCUCCUUGUUUUGCCUUAGUACAGCAAUUACAUUCAUGUCAUUAUGUGGCAUGAUGGAGUGAUAGUGUUGGUGACCCUUCUGAUUGCAGGUGUGCCCGAAGAGAGUACUGUACCGGAGACCUUUCCUGGAGGCACCCCCAUCCUUGCACGCAACAGCACUGCUCCCUCACCUACACACACUUCCAAUGUCAGCACCACAGAUAUCUCCUCAGGUGUGACCAUUAUGUGCCAUGUGUUUUAGGCUACGGAAGCUCCAAACUUGAAUGACACUUCUUUUACUCCAGAUAAUAUUUUCAAAUUUCCCAUUGUUUUUGUUUUUAAAUCUUGAGAAGAAAUUAGGCAAAAGGAACUUAAGAGAAAAUUGUUCGGGGGAAGGUAUACAUGUAACUUUACUAUUAUUUUUGUAAAGUUCAUGACACUGAGGUUGAUAAUAUUCAUUAACAACUUGUAGCUUUAGGAUUAAUCCAACUAUAUGAAUUUUUCUAGAAAAUCUAGAACAAUGGGUUCAGUCCUCAGCUCUGAAAAAAAAGAAAAAAGAAAAAAAAAGAAGAAAAUCUAGAACAAGUAACUCAGUUUCCCUUUUGUGAAAGCGGCCCCUAUAAUACUCAUUUCAUAAAACUGAUAUGAAGACUGUACAUGGAAAGGUUUGACAUAACAGAUGUAAGAAAAGAGUUAGACCAUUGGCCUAAUUCAUAUCUAAAAUAAGAAGAGUUGUAAUUCAACAGAAAAGACUAGUGUGAGGCAAAUUCUUUUUCAGGUAAGAAUUAUACUAAGGAGUGAAAAACUUCCCCUUUACACUGUGACUAAAUAUUUAAAAUUACUUGAAAUGUGUGUUAUGUGAAUGGAUUUGCACAUAAGUCUUAGACUCACUUUGUUAUCUUGGAAACUUAUCAAUUCAAGUGAUCAAUUCAAAAGAAUCUCUUAGCAAAUUAUCUUGGGUAAAAUUUUUUUCUCAAGCUUCUAGAUAAUAAACUCAUUAACUUUUACCCUUUUGUUCAUUUCCUUGCAGGUGCCAACCUCACAACCCCUGCACCAUCCACUCUGGGCUUUGCAAGCAAUACCACCACAAGCACAGAAAUAG